AGAUUGAACGCUGGCGGCAUGCCUAACACAUGCAAGUCAAACGGGAGUAGCAAUACUCUAGUGGCGGACGGGUGAGGAAUACGUAGGAAUUUGCCCUUAAGUGGGGGACAACCCGGGGAAACCCGGAUUAAUACCGCAUGACCUCGAAAGAGCAAAGUGGGGGAUCGCAAGACCUCACGCUUUUGGAGAAGCCUACGUCGGAUUAGCUAGUUGGUGAGGUAAUGGCUCACCAAGGCGACGAUCCGUAACUGGUCUGAGAGGAUGAUCAGCCACACUGGGACUGAGACACGGCCCAGACUCCUACGGGAGCAGCAGUAGGGAAUAUUGGACAAGUGGGACGAAAGCCUGAUCCAGCAAUGACCGCGUGAGUGAUGAAGGCUUAGGGUGUAAAGCUCUUUACCGAGAUGAUAAUGACUAGUA
rnacentral:rRNA from 1 species